GACUGCAAUUGAUGUAAUUUUUUUAGUUAGGUUUUGGUACUCGCGGUCCGGGAUGCGCCGCUCCAGCCCGAUACCUCAACAUACACCAAUACCUGGGAUGGAUUGACGAGGUGAUCAGCCAGCGACCUUUACGAGAGAGGUUUGAUGAUGAAGAGGGUCUGAUCUUCAGACGCGUCAGCCCAGUCAAGCUUGUUAUGUACAAAGGCAAUCUUCGACACCCAAAGUCGCAUGGUCAAUGUGAUCGCAAGGAUCGUGGCAACGUGCUGUACAAAGACAGUUCUGAAGUCCUCGUCAAUAAGAACUUUGCACAAGGCUUCUUCUUUCUGUCACUGGCCCAAGCGGCGUCGGUGCGAUGCGCAACAAUUUACCUGGACGUCAGCUCACGCACCAACGCAGCCGUCUGGCUGGAGCACUAUUGUCAUAAGGAGCUCAUGGGACACAGACAAGGAUAUAAAUUCCGACAUAUCAACCCAGAUGAGUGUUUCGUCUACUUUACCAGCGUGGCAUUCAUCGAGUUUCGAUUCUAUUUCUCAUUUAAAGCGGUCCUGGAGGUGACGUUGUAUGGAUCUGAGGAGGAAAUGAAAAUUGCCGAAGGUUUUUGGGCAGCCACAGAGUCAACUUACGCAUGGUGGCCCACAUAUACCGAUAUCCGCUCUGGUGGGUUCGUCCCCAGAAGUAGUUGGUAUUGGUAUAUGUAAUAAGUAGAAUGUCAAUUGAUAAUUAGAGUAUGUUAUUACGUAUACAAUUGUGCACAGAGUCCAUCAUUAAUUACAUCUAAUGAACAGUGGGACACCUAUGUAGUUUAAUUUAUUUUUUCCAAUCCAUCAAAUUUUAUCCAAUUUAUUAACGACUGAUUUAAGAAAGCACUGGACAGUACAAUACGUGUUUAGCUUCAAAUUGGUGACUUCUAAAUUACAACUACGGUACGGGUUUAAAAAUGAUGAUGACAUUGAGAAUUAUAUGAAAUAUUUAUUAAUAAUAAUAAUGGUAUUAAAUUAAUUGUAUAACUUCA